GCGCUUGCUUUGGCAGUACAUAUACUAAAAUUGGAAUGGUAUAGAGAAGCUUAGCAUGGCCCUUGCACAAGAAGCAAAUGGAUAUCCUACAAAAUUAAGAAGAGUGA